rnacentral:rRNA from 1 species
UACGUAGGGUGCGAGCGUUAAUCGGAAUUACUGGGCGUAAAGCGUGCGCAGGCGGUUAUGUAAGACAGAUGUGAAAUCCCCGGGCUCAACCUGGGAACUGCAUUUGUGACUGCAUAGCUAGAGUACGGUAGAGGGGGAUGGAAUUCCGCGUGUAGCAGUGAAAUGCGUAGAUAUGCGGAGGAACACCGAUGGCGAGGGCAAUCCCCUGGACCUGUACUGACGCUCAUGCACGAAAGCGUGGGGAGCAAACAGG